CAGUAGCCGCGGUAAUACAGAGGGUGCAAGCGUUAAUCGGAAUUACUGGGCGUAAAGCGCGCGUAGGUGGUUUGUUAAGUUGGAUGUGAAAUCCCCGGGCUCAACCUGGGAACUGCAUCCAAAACUGGCAAGCUAGAGUAUGGUAGAGGGUGGUGGAAUUUCCUGUGUAGCGGUGAAAUGCGUAGAUAUAGGAAGGAACACCAGUGGCGAAGGCGACCACCUGGACUAAUACUGACACUGAGGUGCGAAAGCGUGGGGAGCAAACAGGAUUAGAUACCCCAGUAGUCCCUGUCUCUUAUAC
rnacentral:rRNA from 1 species